GAAUCAGUACGCUGGUCGUGCCUUCGGUAUGUACUGGUGUCACUGAUUCCUCCCUUCUGAAGAACCAUCAUGCCAUUCACUUGGUGUGGUGGGGAAUCAGGACUGUUACUUUGAAAAAAUUAGAGUGUUUAAAGCAGGCUCACGCUUGAAUACAUUAGCAUGGAAUAACGGAAUAGGACG
rnacentral:rRNA from 1 species